ACAGUUUUUAUAACCAGAGAAAAAAAAAUCUUAUCUUUUUCGUGUCUUCUCGUUUUCUCCAAUCUCAACUUUUUUUGCUUUCGAGAUGAUGGUUCAAUUGAUUUCACAAUCCGAUUGCACAAAUUACUUCAAAUAGAUCCGAGGAAUUCAAAUUACAUUACUUCCUUCGACUGUUCCAUAAUUCUACAGUUUCAAUUGUUCACUUGAUGAGAGCCAAAAUUGUAGCUAUGAAUUAAAGAUUGCAUCACGACGUACGCCAUAUCUCUAGAUCCUACCAAUACUUCGAAUAGAUCCGAGGUAUUCCAAACGAGUUUUUUUGUAGAUUGAAUAGAAGAAUUUAAACUGGUUGAAUUUGUUUUUUUGCAGAUUGCAGAAACUAAUGCUAUAGAGGUGCAUUUGUCAAUUUCCACUCAAUUGUUUCACCCCUUUUUUUUUUGUUAUUAAUAAGUAUUUCCAAUCUUUAAUCCGUAAUAUUUUGAUACUUGCCGGAACUUGUGAGUGUAAAUCAUUUAAUUUCUUGUAAAUAUAAUGCAAAUUAGGAUAUGACAACGCUGAAAAUAACGUUUUAACACUGUAAUUUUACAUUCAUACUGACUAUAUAUAUAUAUAUUCAGCUUUUUACU